rnacentral:rRNA from 1 species
GACGAACGCUGGCGGCACGCUUAACACAUGCAAGUCGAACGGUGAAAGAAGCUUGCUUCUUGGAUCAGUGGCGGACGGGUGAGUAACACGUGAGCAACCUGCCUUUAAGAGGGGGAUAACGUCCGGAAACGGACGCUAAUACCGCAUAACAUAUGGGAUUCGCAUGUUUUCCUAUAUCAAAGAUUUAUCGCUUAAAGAUGGGCUCGCGUCUGAUUAGCUAGUUGGUGAGGUAACGGCUCACCAAGGCGACGAUCAGUAGCCGGACUGAGAGGUUGAACGGCCACAUUGGGACUGAGACACGGCCCAGACUCCUACGGGAGGCAGCAGUGGGGAAUAUUGCACAAUGGGCGCAAGCCUGAUGCAGCGAUGCCGCGUGAGGGAAGAAGGUUUUUCGGAUUGUAAACCUCUGUCUUCAGGGACGAUAAAUGACGGUAGUAAACGAAUAAGCCACGGCUAACUACGUG